rnacentral:rRNA from 1 species
UACAGAGGUCUCAAGCGUUGUUCGGAUUCAUUGGGCGUAAAGGGUGUGUAGGUGGCGCCGUAAGUCGGGUGUGAAAUUUCGGAGCUUAACUCCGAAACUGCAUUCGAUACUGCCGUGCUUGAGGACUGGAGAGGAGACUGGAAUUUACGGUGUAGCGGUGAAAUGCGUAGAUAUCGUAAGGAAGACCAGUGGCGAAGGCGGGUCGUCUGGACAGUUCCUGACGCUGAGGCACGAAGGCCAGGGGAGCAAACGGG